GAUUGAGCACCUGAUGAAGGAACUGCCUGACCCAGGGAGGACAGGUGGAAGCAAUUCAUCUGUGCUUCACACCUGACUAGGAGGGUCUACCCAACCCCUCCCUGGGCUCAUUUAAGGGCUAACCUCCAAAGGAAGAAUGUUGCCUGGAUGGAGGUUGUUUCUUGAGAAGUAGUGUUCCGUAGUUAGAGAUCCUCCUAUUAGUUGGAAGGAAAUCAGGAUUCUGUCAUCAGAGAAUUUUGGAUGAAGUGCUUUCACAAAUCUGACAACUUUAUCUAACAACACAUUCAAGAAGUCGAAGGGCAGGUGAAGAAAAAGAUGUCAGGAUGAAGAGAAGUGCUUCCCACAGAGAGGGGCAAGUAGCAAGGACAGCCCUGCACACCAUUCCAACAGCUUCUCCUGCCACAUAGCUGGAAGCACCAUCUGAGCAGGUGCAAAGCUCAGCCCAAGUCCACCACUGACCUAAGAAGCAUCCUCCGCAUUAAACAGUCUUCGGGGUCAGUGCAAAAGCCAAGAGGAAGUGUGCAGUGCUAACCCCUAGGUACCAUUGCCCACUUGCCAGUCUUCAGGAUUGCUUUGGCACAGAAGCUGUUUCUCUGAAGCCAUUCUGACUGCCCAGCAAAGAAACCUUGAAGGAUGGAUUGCUGGGCUCUUUCUCCCAGUUCUAAUCAAGGGUGGGGGUCUGGCCCUACAGAAUUGAUACCAAAAGAAAUGACAGAAGCAGUACAGCAAAACAGCAAGGUACCUAAUCAGUAGCUCUACAGGGUUUGAUUAAAUUAAGUAGAACUCAAUAGCUGCUUUAUUUUAUUUUAUUUUAAAUUGUCUUUCUCUCCUUGCACCAGUAAACCACACACUGCUCAUCAGACAGACUGGGCAGACCAGAGUUCCAAUGUGGGAUUAGAAAUUCAUUUAAACGUGGGCUGGCUAGCUAGCACUUGUAUGUUUCACUUUACUGCAUGUAACUGUAGUGCAAAUUAACCUUUGAUCAAUGUGUAGAGACAGUGGCACAUAAAAAGCUAAUGUAGAUGAACUUCACAGCAUAAGAGCUAGUGGUUGGAAAUUGAGUUUGCUCAAAUUAAAACAGCAGGUGAGGAAAUAUAACUUCAGAUAAGAUGCAGAUAAAUUCCAAACUAACUCAGGCAGCAUUGCUUUAUUUAUAUUGCAGUCACCCCCUGAGGAGAUAUUUUCUAAGUCACUUCUUAAUCUUGGCAUCCUUAAGAUUCCCAUCCUGCAAUUUGCUCUGCAUCUUUAGAAAUAUUUUUAGUUCUCCUUCCUUUAAACUCCCUCUGAAGUGUCCAUAUUCUUCCUGAAAAGACACAAAACCACUUCAAAACACUGAGUCAUAAGGCAAGAGCAGUACUUAUUUCCACAUUAUUCUGAUUAUUCAUUUCCCAUUAAGUCCUAAGGUCACAGUAAAGCACCUGCCAGUGUAAUAUACAGAAGGCUCCUACUAAUAUCUGUGAUGACUGAACAGUCCUCUCCUGAAUCAUUCCUCUCACCAUGACAAAUUUCUGCAAAUUUUAAGAAAAAAUCCCUUGUUUAAACACAGUAAAACCAGCAGCUAGAUAUCGUAUCUUAUGAGAAAAUCAGUCAUGUUUAUUUGCCAAGAGCUACCUUCUUGAGUGAUCCUCUUUUUACAUUUUAAAUAAAGCAGUUUCCUUGGCAAUACCCCAGUAGCUGGCAAAUUCCAAAAUCAACACAGACCUCCCCAGCUGGUUUAUUUUAAGACUCCUGUGUAGAAAUUAUCAAUUCCUGUUGCGUGAAACUGAAUGCUAUGCAAUUCUUUCCCUGCUACAGACCACUAACUAUAGUUGUUGACUCGAAACAAGUAUGAGAUGCUCCCAAACCAAACUACAUCAAGAUAUACCUUUCUUGUUCUAUGCUUCACUGUUUUGCCUCUAGCAAGGACCUCAUCACACGUAAGGUUGGUUUGUUGUUUAUUUUGUUCCCAACAUGAACAAAGUACUGUUCAUUACCUUUGUCCACCGUGGCUACAGAUAUUUAAAAUCUCUCUUCAACUUUUCUGAAUCAGACGUGUUGCCCAAAUUGUAUAUUCACUGACUUUUUCAUGUUUUGCUUAUAUAUUGAUUUUCAGUGGCACUGUAAUUUUCCAGUGCCCACUUGACCUGCAACAACUACUUGCACAAUAUUGCUUUCUUUUAUUUAAAUACAACAGUCCCUUUAGGGCAUCUAGAAUGCUACAGAUACUGGGAAUAUUUUGUUGUACUGCACAAUAUUAAGCAAUUUUAUAUGGCUGCUGUUGCAAGAGAGAUGGAUGAACCUCAGAGCAUACCAAGAUCUUUUGCUAGAAGGUGACUGUAUCAUACCACUAAUUAUAAUCGACUUAGAUCUAUCUUGACAUCUGUACAUUUUCCAGUCAAUGAUCUGCUUUUCCUUGUCCAUCACAGCUUGGGUGAACACACUGUGCUUAACAAGAAGAAGCUCUUGUUUUUUAAUUCUUUUCAUAAAAUUAUCACUGGAUGUGAAAGUAUGCUCUGUGCCAUACUUUCUUCACUUUAGAACAAUGAUAAAACUUAAUUCUUCCCACAUACUAGGAAUAAAUCCCUAAGAAUUUCCCCUUACUCUCUAGCAAGAUUAGGUGGACCAUUGUAGAUCAUAUUUCAUUAACGAAUAGGCGCUGAAGGGUUGUCAUUUCUUAGAAUGCAGAAUGAGGAUUUUCGUGUAAUUUCAUGUGCAUGUGCUAUUGUACCACUCAGGAACUUGGCAUCCCUGUUAAUGAGAUGGUGCUUACAGUCGUUUUAUUCAGCCUUUAUCCCAGUAUUCUACACAACCCAAGCAGCAGAACUCGGUUGGCUAACUCCCUCAUUUCCCAUGUUUUCUCUAGUUGUCAUUGAGAAACAGGAAGGAUAUCUCAGAAAUAUCAUCUGACUCUUCUCAGCCCUCGGUUUCCUUUUUCAACACAGCACUUCAGCUUCCUCAGAGCUUCCUCCCGUCUCUCUGAGCUCGGAGCUCAGACAGCCCCGCCAGGAGGGCGCUGGAGGGAACCAUCUCCUGAGCCGCACCUGACAGGAGAUAAGGAGCACUCCCAGCCAGCCUCAGUUCUUCCACCAUACCCUGGGCUUCUGGUAGAUGAAGACACUAAAUGUAGCAGUCUCCAAACCCAAUGGCAGUCUCCAAACCCUAACGCCAUCCUUCCACUGCGCUCUCCGUGGGUUCCAGGCACACCCCGCCCACCGCCCGUCCUUCCC